GCCGAAGUGGUGGAAUUGGUAGACACGCAAGUUUCAGGUACUUGUGGGAGCAAUCCUGUGGGGGUUCGAGUCCCCCCUUCGGCA
rnacentral:tRNA from 1 species